GUGCCAGCAGCCGCGGUAAUACGGAGGGAGCUAGCGUUAUUCGGAAUUACUGGGCGUAAAGCGCACGUAGGCGGCUUUGUAAGUUAGAGGUGAAAGCCUGGAGCUCAACUCCAGAACUGCCUUUAAGACUGCAUCGCUUGAAUCCAGGAGAGGUGAGUGGAAUUCCGAGUGUAGAGGUGAAAUUCGUAGAUAUUCGGAAGAACACCAGUGGCGAAGGCGGCUCACUG
rnacentral:rRNA from 1 species